GACGAACGCUGGCGGCGUGCUUAACACAUGCAAGUCGAACGGAAAGGCCCUGCUUUUGUGGGGUGCUCGAGUGGCGAACGUGUGAGUAACACGUGGGUAACCUGCCCUUGACUUUGGGAUAACUUCAGGAAACUGUGGCUAAUACCGGAUAGGAGCUCCUGCUGCAUGGUGGGGGUUGGAAAGUUUCGGCGGUUGGGGAUGGACUCGCGGCUUAUCUGCUUGUUGGUGGGUUAGUGGCUUACCAAGGCUUUGAUGGGUGGCCGGCCUGAGAGGGUGACCGGCCAAAUUGGGACUGAGAUACGGCCAGGACUCCUACGGGAGGCAGCAGUGGGGAAUAUUGCACAAGGGGCGGAAGCCGGAUGCAGCAACGCCGCGUGCGGGAUGACGGCCUUCGGGUUGAAAACCGCUUUCGCCUGUGACGAAGCGUGAGUGACGGUAAUGGGUAAAGAAGCACCGGCUAACUACGUG
rnacentral:rRNA from 1 species